UCAUAGUUAAUUGGUUCAUUGUUCUAUUUUUUCAUUCCGUUCAUUCUUCUGUUGAGUGCCGCUGACUUUUGUAAGGAUGGUUGUAAGUAUAGGAGUAGGUACGUUUGUCGCGUUUUCUUGUUCUGAGCAUCCGUCAAGUGAUGAAUGAAUGAUUCACAGAUUACCCCAACUAAUGUUAUCUUAGUUUUGUUACGAUUCUGUUCACAAUUAUCGGCCUUCAUUUAGUAAUUUAUUUUCUUGUUCGUGCUUUUAAACUCGAUCAACUUUAUCUGCGCUGAAUGACGAUCGUGAACGAGCUCUGACAUAAAGUUUUCUUGUGAUCAAGUCUCCCUUGUCAUUUACCAUAAUAACUGAGAAGUUUCCAAUGCUGCCACAAUAGUUUUCUACUUAAUACUUAUAAUGGAAUGUUUUUAAACUUUUCUUUCACUUUGUUUGUAAGAUUGCUUAUUGUUGAGGCAUAAUAGACUUGCUUCAAGUAUUAGGGUUUGUUCAACAAACUUUCUCGUUUAGAUACAUGUACCGUUGUCUAAGUUUCUAUUUGAAUGUCCAUUGUGUUGGUCUUUACAGGGAGGAGUGGUCUAUGUUUCAGAAUUGGACUACUGGGCAAAGUUCUGCAGUUUGUUAUACCAUGUACCAAAUGAAGCUAAAGUAUUCUUUGUCAUUACCUGGCUGAAAUCAUCUUUGCUAUCCAGCAGUUCUACACUUUCUAGUUUGGAAUAUGAAAAGAUGCAUUGUUUGGAUCUGGUAGACAUGACUUUAAAAAAAGUAAACAAAGAAUAAUACAUCAACGUAAAUUUUUAUUGGUCAACAAGUAGUACUUGGAUAUUAAAUCACGAGCUCACAAAUCAUGUGCUUGCAUGGCACGAAUUCAGUACAACCUGAAGACUCAACUAGGACUUCCAGGCUUCACCAUCUCUCAUUGUGGGCUUUUACGGCAGUAGUCAACGCUCGAGUACAACGGCUUCAAUAGUUUCCCACGUCGUGUGUAGUUUUGCAGGGUUAUAUUAUACAGACAGUUCGAGAUAACAUGGAGGGAUACAUGGAGAUAGUAGCUAUCAACAUAUGGUGACUUUGCUGUUUCUCAGACCAGCCCUACACUUGAGAUCCAGCAAAACAUUUCGAUCAUCGAUACCUCAAUUGGCACAAUUCAGUCGGGAAUUUUCGCAGUCGUAGUUGAGCGUCCGUUUUAAUCGGAUUGUUAGAGGCUCAACUCCAUCAUCUGAUUUAAGCCGAGUCUUCCAUCAUUGUUGAUGUCCUUUGCCGACCGUAAUACCUUUUCCAGCCUGGAACUGAAGCACGUUAGAUGUGUGACAAAGAAAGUUGAAAUAACACACUGAACGAUUGCUGAAGGAUAAGUGAAGAAAUCAACCAUCAUCAACAUCUAACGCUAGGAGAUGAAUUCCGAUGUUCACAAUGACGAAAAGGGAGGCGCAUUGAGAAAGAAACUUUAUUUCGCUACUUCUUCCAAAUCGGCCUCUCGAAGUUCUAUCGUCCGGAAUUUAUAUCGUUGGAACUCGCUCAACAGUAUCUGGUGGUAUUGUGUUUUGGUCAAUCAACUCUGAAAACCCAUUGGCCUGGAAGGUGUCCCCUGUCGCGAGGUGAUAUGAGUUUGCACGACGUUGAUCGAGAAGGCGAGAUUGGGUUGUUGAAUUAGUCGUGAAGUCGUUCUUAUCGUCCAACAUUUCGUGGAAGUGGUUCAGUUGAAAAUCGCGCUGGCGGUAACUAUCGAGCAAAGUAAACAGAAUUGCCAUCAGCCGAAACGAAGAGCACCAAUUUCUGCAAAUAAAUGUUCCACGACAUACUAUUGAGAAUCGCAAGACAUCAAUAUUGACAACAUCAACAUGAUUCUACCGUUAAUUCAAUGGCUUCGGCGGUACUCCGUUCCAGGACCCUUCCAAUGAAAUGAAAGAACAUUUUCCGUGCGACAUCAGGGUGGAACAUAAUGACAAUGAAAACAUGAAGACCUCCACAAAAGCUUCAUAUGGUAACGCCACCGUAUGACAGCAUACGGACCCAUGCAGUAACCCGUGGAACAGCUCCGUACUGGAUGAUUCUAUAGGACGACGCCGGAGGACUUGGGGAAACAACAACCAAAAUCGUAAACCGUGAUAGCUGAUUCAAGCGUGGAGUUCAAAUUAUUAGCCAAGGUUCUCGUGAUGCUCCUCUUUCUUUUCCUGCAGUUGCCGUGUGAGAAACAACCGAAACCUACAGAACUUAAUGCGAGUCCUUUCAAACAAGCACCGUUACAAUUUAGUGUUCCUCAGCUGCAUUUGUGGAACGACGACGGGCGAAUGGGGUCUACUCGGCCUAGACAACAAUGAGCAGAACGUCGUUCUCAUCAACCCAACCCAAAAACAUUGACGGAAUAUUGCCAAGGAUCUUGGCAUGAAACCAGGACUGAAAUGCCACUUACGAGUCGAAUUGAUUGCAUAUAAUAACAGCUCUUUCUUUUUAGCGACAACAGUCCUUUAGUUAAUAAUUCCCAUUAUUUCCGUGUUAUUUGAUUCGUAUAAUUAUUUUAACAAUUAUUCAAGGCAAUGGAGAAUGGAUCUAUUUUAGAAGUUGAAAAAUCAACGAUAAUAAUCAUGAAAAAUUGUAGUGUCGGCAAAGCCUAUCGCCAAAAGUUGAAAGUUGCCAAUCCGAAUUCGACAACAACAUUUACAUUGUGCGACAAUGAUAGCGUAACUACACAAUAUAACAAAAAAAGUGGCUGACCAAUGAAAUUUCUGCCAUUGCACGCGGUGGAAUGACUGCAAAAUUACGUUAAUUAUUACAUACAUAUAUAAUUAAGCUCAAUAAAAAACACAUACAGUUUAA